rnacentral:sRNA from 1 species
CUUUGUGUUCCAAUUCUACUAUGUACCGCAUCUUCCUCUCCUUUGA